UCUCAUUCACACCAACUUAGCUAGCUUUAAUCAUUAACUAGCUUUAACACGGACAACAACAUCAUCAAAAAACAUCUUCUUGUUGUGAAUUACUCUCUCUUUACGUAUCGUAGCAUCAAUUAACGCAAACCCCUCAUCCUUCAAUUGAACAGAAACAUGAAUUUUCUGCAUAAAAGUUGCAUAACAACAGAAAGAACGAAUCUUGGAAAAAUUCAUCCCAUAGAGAGUGAAAAUCGUGGUUGUAUCAUGAAGUUCUUCACUAUAAGCCAUAGGUAGAAUUGAUUUGAUUGAGAAUUUGAUGAGUUUUUUUCUUGGUUUGAAUGGAUAACAACAACAUCAGAGUUUUGCCAUAAAUCUUUGUUUGUGAAACUCAAACUGUUGUAAAAGGUACUAAGCCUUUUCUGGAACAAUUCUUUCAUCAUUUUUUUUGGAUUUUUGAAAACUGAGAAUUGAUGGUUUAAACGAGAAAAGAGUGAUCAGUGACUUUUGUUUGGAGUCUUGAUCAUAUAAAGAAGAAGACAAAUAGGUUUAGAGGUCUUUGUAGAAU
rnacentral:lncRNA from 1 species